GCCUGUAAGACUGGGAUAACUUCGGGAAACCGAAGCUAAUACCGGAUAGGAUCUUCUCCUUCAUGGGAGAUGAUUGAAAGAUGGUUUCGGCUAUCACUUACAGAUGGGCCCGCGGUGCAUUAGCUAGUUGGUGAGGUAACGGCUCACCAAGGCAACGAUGCAUAGCCGACCUGAGAGGGUGAUCGGCCACACUGGGACUGAGACACGGCCCAGACUCCUACGGGAGGCAGCAGUAGGGAAUCUUCCGCAAUGGACGAAAGUCUGACGGAGCAACGCCGCGUGAGUGAUGAAGGCUUUCGGGUCGUAAAACUCUGUUGUUAGGGAAGAACAAGUACGAGAGUAACUGCUCGUACCUUGACGGUACCUAACCAGAAAGCCACGGCUAACUACGUGCCAGCAGCCGCGGUAAUACGUAGGUGGCAAGCGUUAUCCGGAAUUAUUGGGCGUAAAGCGCGCGCAGGCGGUUUCUUAAGUCUGAUGUGAAAGCCCACGGCUCAACCGUGGAGGGUCAUUGGAAACUGGGGAACUUGAGUGCAGAAGAGAAAAGCGGAAUUCCACGUGUAGCGGUGAAAUGCGUAGAGAUGUGGAGGAACACCAGUGGCGAAGGCGG
rnacentral:rRNA from 1 species